CACACCUGCCGAAAAGGGACACUGCAUUACUGGCAUGCCUGCCCUGGGGCUGAGGGAAGGACAACAGGCAGGAAGCUCCUGGUCUCGAAGCUCCUGGUCUCCCGACAGCAGGAAAACCUCUGAAAAGAUAAGCAGGCUAACUGAACAGCCAGAAGAGGUGUAUCCAAGAAACUGCCCAGGCCAAGGCAGCUGGUUUGCAAUCCCCUCGCGCGAUCGAUUUCCGUGACUGGAUUUAGGAAGAUCUGUUAGCACAGAAGUUCAUUAAACAGAACUGACCACUGAUGGAAUUCCAGCAGUCAGUGGACUUACACAAGGGAUAAGCAUGACUCAUUACCAGUCUGCAGCUCUGUACCUCAAAACCCAGAGGAGCCUGUCCUUCUUGGCCUCCAAUCAUAGAAGGUUUUGUAUCAAAGAAGCAUCCUAAAUAAGAGAAUUCUUGUAGCUCUGAGAAGGACAGAUUGCAUGGGGAUUUCCUGCUUUUGAGAUGUCUACCAUUUACCAGAAAUAUUAAGAACAAAUCCUCCUUCCAACCCUUCCUGUUCAUACAAGCUGUGUGUGCCACAGCCCUGCAUUUUGAAAAGCGUCGUGAAAAUAAAAAAACUGAGCCAAACCAAAUCCUUGUGCAAAAUCUGCAUAGAUACACUGUGCACUCUUACAUGAUGAGCAUGGAAUUUAGGGCUGGUGGAAGGUGUAGAUUGGUACGUUUCAUACCUAGAAAUGCUGCACAGAGUGUGUUAAGAUGCACCACAAAGAUAACUGCUUCAAACCAAAGUG